ACGUACACUCCUGCGGGAGGCAGCAGUGGGGAAUAUUGGACAAUGGGCGCAAGCCUGAUCCAGCCAUGCCGCGUGAGUGAUGAAGGCCCUAGGGUUGUAAAGCUCUUUCACCGGUGAAGAUAAUGACGGUAACCGGAGAAGAAGCCCCGGCUAACUUCGUGCCAGCAGCCGCGGUAAUACGAAGGGGGCUAGCGUUGUUCGGAUUUACUGGGCGUAAAGCGCACGUAGGCGGACUAUUAAGUCAGGGGUGAAAUCCCGGGGCUCAACCCCGGAACUGCCUUUGAUACUGGUAGUCUUGAGUUCGAGAGAGGUGAGUGGAAUUCCGAGUGGAGAGGUGAAAUUCGUAGAUAUUCGGAGGAACACCAGUGGCGAAGGCGGCUCACUGGCUCGAUACUGACGCUGAGGUGCGAAAGCGUGGGGAGCAAACAGGAUUAGAAACCCGAGUAGUCCC
rnacentral:rRNA from 1 species